CACCGCACAGUUUACUCGCCCUUGCCGCCGCUGCUGUGUCUACCUGCGCUGCUGUUAGGCUUUUACAGACACUUUUUCGCCUUCGCCCUUCUUUCACUCUUCCCCACCCGCCACCAUGAAGUCCGUCUUGAAGGCUGGCUUGAAGAAGGACGUCGACGUCAGGGUGCCGUCGGCGGAGCUCACCAUCAAGCAGAUCCAGGACCAGAUCCCCGCCAAGUACUUUGAGCGCUCGGCGGUGUGGGGCAUGUACUACGUCUUUCGCGACAUUUGUCAGCUGCUUGUGGUGCACUGCAUCAUGUACCUCGCGGUGAUGCCAGCGCUGGCUGGUCUUGAAAGCCGUAUGUACGAAGCCGCUGGCGCCACCUGGGCAAGCUGGGCGCUCGUCAGCGCGGUGAAGCUGGCUGCGUGGAACGUGUUUUGGUUCGUGCAGGGCCUCAACGGCACUGCUCUAUGGGUGCUCGCCCACGAGUGCGGUCACCAAGCCUUCAGCCCGUACCGUUCGCUGAACAACGCAGUUGGCCUUCUCCUCCACUCAUCCGUUCUCGUCCCAUACCACAGCUGGCGCAUCACCCACGGCAACCACCACAAACACACAAACCACCUCACCAAGGAUACGGUGUUCGUGCCGCGCAAGGAGAGCAAGGUGAUCGACCUCCUCGAGGAGACGCCGCUGGUGAUGGUGACUAACAUGCUGAUCAUGUUUAUUUUCGGCUGGCCAGGGUACCUGUUGUUCAAUGUGGCGAGUCAGGACUACGGUCGCCGAGCCAACCACUUCGAGCCUUCGUCGCCGCUCUUUCGCAAGGAGGACGCGCACGAUAUUGUGCUGUCCGACAUCGGCAUCUUCGCCGCACUCACCGUUUUGGGCCUCUGCACCUACCAGUACGGCGCCCACAACGUCUUUUGCUGGUACGUCGUGCCGUACAUGUGGGUGAACUUCUGGCUGCUCUACAUCACCUACCUCCAGCACACCGACAUCCGCAUCCCGCAUUACAACCACGAGCACUGGACGUUUGUGCGCGGCGCCGUUGCGGCAGUGGACCGCGACUACGGCUUCCUCAUGAACAACUGGCUGCACCACAUCAACGACUCCCACGUCGUGCACCACCUCUUCAGCCAGAUGCCCUUCUACCACGCAAUUCAGGUGACGCGCCACCACAUCAAAGCCAUCCUCGGCGACAACUACGUGGAGGACAGGCGCCCGCUCAUUGACGCACUCUGCACGAGCUGGAAGGAGUGCGCCUACGUCGUCCCGUCCGAAGGCGUCAGCGUCUUUUACGGCUUCAACAAGAAGCGCGCGUAAUUUGGAGGAGAUGCAGACUUAGUCCACAUCCCUCCCCUGGCGUGCCACAGGAGCUAUUUCCCUCCGCUUUUUUUCCUCACUUCCAAUCCUUCUAUCGCUGCGCACUUCUCUCUGACCCUCACGCCGCAUGCUGCAAGUUUGCAUGCGCCUGCGACAUCGCAAAAAAAAAGUGCUGAGAUCGGUGAAGAGAAGAUCGGCUUAUGUGAGCAUCGAAUGGCGAGGCCCGGCGCCUUUCGAUACUGUCAGUGGGAGAAUGCAUAAUAACUUUUUUGCCUUUUCUAGCAUAGCCUUUCUGAGGUAGUGAGUGACGGAAAGACUGCUUCGCGUCUGCACAUUUUACCCUAUUUUCUUAUUUGUUUCAGAAUUUAGUGCUCCACUUUCCUCUUUUGUCUGCCUUUAGUGCUCGACGUAUAAUUCAUGUUUGCCAACCUCCCAAUUGUACACAUCAGCGUAAACGGUGCACAGACGACAGCGCACCGCGGCGGA
rnacentral:misc_RNA from 1 species